AAGCCAGUGGUGAACUCCACAUACGCAUCCUUUGCUGAGGAUACGGUUAACGGAGCGAAAGCGACGUUCAACCUCAAAAGAAGCAGAGGGGGCUUAGUGGUGGGGUGACUGCGUACCUUUUGUAUAAUGGGUCAGCGACUUAUAUUCUGUAGCAAGGUUAACCGCAUAGGGGAGCCGUAGGGAAACCGAGUCUUAACCGGGCGUUAAGUUGCAGGGUAUAGACCCGAAACCCGGUGAUCUAGCCAUGGGCAGGUUGAAGGUUGGGUAACACUAACUGGAGGACCGAACCGACUAAUGUUGAAAAAUUAGCGGAUGACCUGUGGCUGGGGGUGAAAGGCCAAUCAAACCGGGAGAUAGCUGGUUCUCCCCGAAAGCUAUUUAGGUAGCGCCUCGUGAACUCAUCUCCGGGGGUAGAGCACUGUUUCGGCUAGGGGGCCAUCCCGGCUUACCAACCCGAUGCAAACUGCGAAUACCGAAGAAUGUUAUCACGGGAGACACACGGCGGGUGCUAACGUCCGUCGUGAAGAGGGAAACAACCCAGACCGCCAGCUAAGGUCCCAAAGUCAUGGUUAAGUGGGAAACGAUGUGGGAAGGCACAGACAGCCAGGAUGUUGGCUUAGAAGCAGCCAUCAUUUAAAGAAAGCGUAAUAGCUCACUGGUCGAGUCGGCCUGCGCGGAAGAUGUAACGGGGCUAAACCAUGCACCGAAGCUGCGGCAGCGACACUAUGUGUUGUUGGGUAGGGGAGCGUUCUGUAAGCCGUUGAAGGUGUCCUGUGAGGGAUGCUGGAGGUAUCAGAAGUGCGAAUGCUGACAUAAGUAACGAUAAUGCGGGUGAAAAACCCGCACGCCGGAAGACCAAGGGUUCCUGUCCAACGUUAAUCGGGGCAGGGUGAGUCGACCCCUAAGGCGAGGCCGAAAGGCGUAGUCGAUGGGAAACAGGUUAAUAUUCCUGUACUUGGUGUUACUGCGAAGGGGGGACGGAGAAGGCUAUGUUGGCCGGGCGACGGUUGUCCCGGUUUAAGCGUGUAGGUGUGUGUUCCAGGUAAAUCCGGUUCACUUUAACACUGAGGCGUGAUGACGAGGCACUACGGUGCUGAAGUGACAAAUGCCCUGCUUCCAGGAAAAGCCUCUAAGCAUCAGGUAACACGAAAUCGUACCCCAAACCGACACAGGUGGUCAGGUAGAGAAUACCAAGGCGCUUGAGAGAACUCGGGUGAAGGAACUAGGCAAAAUGGUGCCGUAACUUCGGGAGAAGGCACGCUGAUAUGUAGGUGAAGCGGUUUACCCGUGGAGCUGAAAUCAGUCGAAGAUACCAGCUGGCUGCAACUGUUUAUUAAAAACACAGCACUGUGCAAACACGAAAGUGGACGUAUACGGUGUGACGCCUGCCCGGUGCCGGAAGGUUAAUUGAUGGGGUUAUCCGUAAGGAGAAGCUC
rnacentral:rRNA from 1 species